CGGUGGAGCAUGUGGUUAAUUCGAUGCAACGCGAAGAACCUUACCUAGACUUGACAUCCCGGGAAUUCUUAGGAAACUAAGAAGUGCCUUUCGGGGAGCCCGGUGACAGGUGGUGCAUGGUUGUCGUCAGCUCGUGUCGUGAGAUGUUGGGUUAAGUCCCGCAACGAGCGCAACCCCUAUUGUUAGUUGCCAUCAUUCAGUUGGGCACUCUAGCGAGACUGCCGGUAAUAAACCGGAGGAAGGUGGGAUGACAUCAAAUCAUCAUGCCCCUUAUGACCUGGGCUACACACGUGCUACAAUGGUUGGUACAACGAGUUGCGAGUCGGUGACGGCGAGCUAAUCUCUUAAAGCCAAUCUCAGUUCGGAUUGUAGGCUGCAACUCGCCUACAUGAAGUCGGAAUCGCUAGUAAUCGCGGAUCAGCACGCCGCGGUGAAUACGUUCCCGGGCCUU
rnacentral:rRNA from 1 species